AUGUUAGACUACAAUUUUGACCGGAUGUAUCUUCUGGAGUUUGGGGGGGUUUCCUUGAAAUCGGGAGGAAGCACAGGACAGUCUGUGAAGCAAGCAGCUGGCAUUGUGACUUCUGCUGAAGGACAAGCUAUUUCUCUCAGUUGUUCCUAUGAAGCACAAUAUAGUGGCACAUUUAACACCUACUGGUACAUUCAGCACGCUGGUCAGCCUCUGAAGCUCCUGUUGUCAGAGUAUGCAAAUUAUGGACCAGGGUUCCAUGCGAUCCACAUCAAAGGAGAUAAAAAGAGGACUUUCCAUUUAGAGAAAGAUGCGAUUCAGCUGAAGGACUCUGCUGUCUACUUCUGUGCUGUAGAGCACAAUGAGAGGAAGCAGAAGGAGAGCCAAUGA